ensembl:lncRNA
UUCAACAAAAACAUUCAACAUUCACACUUUCCCUCAUUGACAGUAGUGCUGUUCCACACUACAAAUAUUGGUAUCGAUCCAAUACCAAGUAAAUACAGGGCCAGGAUUGGUUAUUAUUUGUUAUUCAGGUAGCUAAUUGGGGGAAGAGUAGUGUGCCAUGAAUUAUCCUUUUAAUCACCACUAUAUCACGGAUUACUUUCCACAAUAAUUAGUUAAUGCAACAAAACACACCUUUCAGCUUUUCAUGUCUUUUGAAGCUGGGUUUUUGGAGACCUGGAAUGGAAGUUUUUCUGUCUCUAAAGCACACAAAAAGGUUUGGACUUUCUUCAUAGUGCAUAUUUGAGGUUUAUUUUUUCCAAGGAAAUAAUUAACACAGUUCACCGGGCUACAUACUGAACUCGAAGGAUACAAGCAAAGUAUCGAUCCAAUCCUGUUAGUAUCGAUCCGAUACCAAUACUAGUGUUGGUAUCGACACUAUCGAUAUUUGGAUCGAUCCAUUCCGCCCACCUCUACCAGCGGGGGCCUCUUCUCAAGAUGGCGGCCUGUCCUUGGUGGAAGAAGGAGUGCGAUACAUUUUUAUGACAACCGGGGUUUAAAGAAGAAACCGAGGUCAAAAAGUAGACUAAAAGGAAUUGUUCCACUAUGGUAAUUUGCGGAACCUCCAAGAAAAUCUAUGAAAAGAAAAGGACCGUCAAAGUCAAGAAUAAUAACGCUAAUUGGCUAGCUAACUAGCCACCAGUCAUACAUGCAGGGGGGCACGGACGCCAUGGCUCCUCACCAGCUGGCUGUCAGCCUCCAGUCGGCGCCCUCCAUGAUCUCCCAGAAAGUGCAGUUAACUUACCAGCUGUUCUUGCUGGAAAAUGCCCGGAAUAAACUUGAACAAGACCUUCGCAACUUCACCAUCAAGGCCUAUAAAGAUGUCCAAGGUUACCUGAAUUCAUCUUGUCCCAGGAGCUUGUUCAGUGAUCUCUCAAAAGCUUUAGAUGUGAAAUGUCAAACAGUCGCAAAGGUUUCAGCUUUAUUAAAGGACCUCACAGCUGACCCGCAGGUUUGUCUCCUUCCUAAAGUUAAAAAUGGAGUCAGCGGAAAUCGGAUGCAGCAGCUUGGCGUCAAAGAGAUUCAGAUUACAGAUGUUUUUAAGUUUGGGCCCAUGUUAAAGAACUCACUGAUGGCGAGCUCAAUAGCAAAAGCAAUCCAGGUACUGGGAGCCAAGGUGUCUCUUCAGCAGCUACAACGCUUCCUCACCUCAAAGCCUGCAGCAGACUAUCAGGACGACAUGAUAUGCAGGCGUUCUUCGAGCCUCACCAGCACUGUUUUGACUUCCAGUUGUGAUUUUAAGGUUGAAGAAAAGCAGGUUGAUUUUGAGGAGAAGAGCCAAGCGGAUGCUGGGAUUUUUCCACCUGUCACUGAUGAGAGCCAUGACAGAAGGGCAGAGAGGCCUCAAAUACUUUUACCUCCCUUAAAAGCUGUUUUCCCCGAGCUCAGUAACCCAAAACCCAUGAACACCACACCACUAUUACACUGGAGAUGUGAAGAUGAUGUCAAGGUGCAAUACCAAAAACAAACAUCCUCCCAGCUGCUGCACUUCCUCAGAGCAAAAGUUAAAAACAUGGGUUCACUGGAGGUCACGGACAUGGAGUGGGCUAAACGUCCAUACACUUCAGAUUUACAGCAGCCUGUGUCACCUACCAUUACAACACAAAAACACCAGUUCAGUCACGUUGUCACCGAUCUGGUAGAAGUUCUUGCUCCAAAACCUUUGAAUGCAAAGUUUGAAACCCAAGACCCAGUCUUCAGAGUGAAAAAAGCAGAGUCAAGUGGCUCUCUCAUCUAUAGUUGCGUGAUUGCAACACAAACUGAACUCUGGGAUAUUGGAGACAUCUUCGGAGAGGUAGUGGAGAGGGGCUCUGAUCCUGGCCCCUUGGGAAGUGAAGACUGCCAAAAUAUAACUACUCUGCCAGAGAUCGUGGGUGUGAAUAUCCACUGGAAACCCAGAAGUCCCAAGUGCACAGACCCUGAACGUGAUAACAGUUCUGAUGGUGCGAAAAUGGCAACAACCAGCAGUUUAAAGAUUCCCGAUUUCCAGAUUCGAAGAUUUGAAGAGACUGAGGUUGUGGUGUCUCACACUGUGAGUCCGAGCAACUUCUACAUCCAGCAGGCAGACUCCCAUGAGAAGCUACAGGCCUUUGCCACAGACUGGAAAGCCAGUAAUUCAUAUGCUGAGCAGAACUGCAUUCCAGAUAUUGGAACCGUAGUAAUGGGUUGGUUCGCCAAGCGAGAACAAUGGUGCAGGAGCCAGGUGAUAAAGAUAUGUGGAGUGAGCAGAGAUGGUGCUGGGACAGAGACAUCCAUCAAGGUGGAAGUGAAAAGGUUGGACUAUGGUGACACUGCCUGUCUGUCACUGUCAAAUAUAAAGGAGCUGACCCCUGAAAUGGCUACUGUACCACUUCAGGCUGUGCAGGUUUCACUGGCUAAUGUGAUGCCUGUGAAUGGGAGAGAUUGGUCUGAGGAGGCAGUCGGCUGGUUCAAAGCGACUGUGCACAACAGGACCCUCUAUGCUAGGCUGUACCAACAGGAAGGCAAAGUUACAGUCGAGCUGUUCAUGGAGAAGGGAAAGCUCGGAGCCAUGAGGAGGGGUGCUUCAAUGUCUUUGAGACUGGCCCAAAAUGGACACGCCAUCCACAGCAAACUUAAGAAGACUAGUCUCAUUAAAAGAAACAGUGUUCAGCUUAAAGCCCAGAAACAGGACUCUGACUGGGAGAAGUAUCUCAUAUCAUGCUACACUCAAAGGAAGUAG